GACGUAGGGCGCGAGCGUUGUCCGGAUUUAUUGGGCGUAAAGAGCUCGUAGGCGGUCUGUCGCGUCGGAUGUGAAAAUCCAGGGCUCAACCCUGGACCUGCAUUCGAUACGGGCAGACUAGAGUUCGGCAGGGGAGACUGGAAUUCCUGGUGUAGCGGUGAAAUGCGCAGAUAUCAGGAGGAACACCGGUGGCGAAGGCGCGUCUCUGGGCCGAUACUGACGCUGAGGAGCGAAAGCGUGGGGAGCGAACAGG
rnacentral:rRNA from 1 species